CAUGUUGUCCUUUGAGAAGCUCCACCCAGCAGCUGCCUCAGACAGAUACAGACACCUACAGCCAAACAGUGGAUGGAGCUUGGAAACUCUUAUGGAAGAAUUGGAGGAAGGAUUGCAGGCCCUGAAGGGGAUAGGAACUCCUCAGGAAGACCAAGAAAGUCAACUAACCUGGAUCCUUGGGGCUCUCAGAGUCUGAACCACCAACCAAAGAGCAUACAUGGGCUGGACCCUCUACUCUUUGGUAUUUUCCUCAGGCACUGAAGCACAAGUCCACGGCCAGCAAGUGAGGAAGUGGAAAUGGACCCAGGCAUCAGGAUUCUUGAACAAUUCUUACUACGUUGUUGCCUCUCAAGACCAUGCUGGGACAGCGUGCUUGGCCCUGCCUAAAGUGGGAGUAUGAAGUCAAGUGCUCAGCAAAAUGGAGAAUAAUUAUAGAUGCAAUCAACACCCAGCU
rnacentral:lncRNA from 1 species